UUUCCAUAGGUGAACCUGCGGAAGGAUCAUUCAUAAUAAAGUGUUUUAUGGCACUUUUUAAAAAUCCAUAUCCACCUUGUGUGCAAUGUUAGAUCUCGUCAAUCUUGGCGAGAUUUUUAUACAUCAACUCAUUUUUUAACUAAUUUGUCUGAAAAAUAUUAUGAAUACUUAAUUCAAAAUACAACUUUCAACAACGGAUCUCUUGGCUCUC
rnacentral:misc_RNA from 1 species